rnacentral:rRNA from 1 species
UUGCGGGUAUCCUGCAGUGAAUACAUAGCUGCUGGAAGCGAACCUGGUGAACUGAAAUAUCUAAGUAACCAGAGGAAAAGAAAUCAACCGAGAUUCCGUAAGUAGCGACGAGCGAACGCGGACUAGCCCUUAAGCUGGAUUGGUUCUAGGAAAACGCUCUGGAAAGAGCGGCCAUAGAAGGUGAUAGCCCUGUAUCUGAAAGGGCCAUUCCAGUGAAGACGAGUAGGGCGGGGCACGUGAAACCCUGUCUGAACAUGGGGGGACCAUCCUCCAAGGCUAAAUACUACUGACCGACCGAUAGUGAACCAGUACCGUGAGGGAAAGGCGAAAAGAACCCCGGAGAGGGGAGUGAAAUAGAACCUGAAACCGUGUGCGUACAAGCAGUAGGAGCUCCGCAAGGAGUGACUGCGUACCUUUUGUAUAAUGGGUCAGCGACUUACUGUUCGUGGCAAGCUUAACCGUAUAGGGGAGGCGAAGGGAAACCGAGUCUGAUAAGGGCGCAUAGUCGCGGGCAGUAGACCCGAAACCGGGUGAUCUAGUCAUGCCCAGGGUGAAGGUGCGGUAACACGCACUGGAGGCCCGAACCCACUCCCGUUGCAAAGGUAGGGGAUGAGGUGUGAUUAGGAGUGAAAAGCUAAUCGAACCCGGAGAUAGCUGGUUCUCCUCGA